rnacentral:rRNA from 1 species
AUUGAACGCUGGCGGCAUGCCUUACACAUGCAAGUCGAACGGUAACGGGCCUUCGGGUGCCGCCGAGUGGCGAACGGGUGAGUAAUACAUCGGAACGUGCCCGAUCGUGGGGGAUAACGAGGCGAAAGCUUUGCUAAUACCGCAUACGAUCUACGGAUGAAAGCAGGGGACCGCAGGGCCUUGCGCGGACGGAGCGGCCGAUGGCAGAUUAGGUAGUUGGUGGGAUAAAAGCUUACCAAGCCGACGAUCUGUAGCUGGUCUGAGAGGAUGAUCAGCCACACUGGGACUGAGACACGGCCCAGACUCCUACGGGAGGCAGCAGUGGGGAAUUUUGGACAAUGGGCGCAAGCCUGAUCCAGCCAUGCCGCGUGCAGGAUGAAGGCCUUCGGGUUGUAAACUGCUUUUGUACGGAACGAAAAGCCUUCUUUUAAUACAGGAGGGUCAUGACGGUACCGUAAGAAUAAGCACCGGCUAACUACGUG